UGAUCUUUUUUCUUGUAUUAUGACGCUUGCGUGUGAUAUCUACAACAGCUCCGACAAGGACAGAAGGAAUGCUAUCUGGGGGAAAUGUCCAAACUGACCUGACUAGUCCAGUGAUGACCUCGGACGUGACACCAACGCCACGGACUCCUACAAGAACAACGGAGACGGGAGUUCAAGGCAAUCUAGGCUUGUAUAUCGGUGCUGGAGCCGGUGGUGGUAUCCUGCUUUUCAUCGUCAUCAUCCUCCUGGUCGUUUUCAUUAUACGA